UAAGAAAACCCACCUUUGAUG
rnacentral:miRNA from 1 species